CUCAAAUCAGCAUCUCUGGCUGUUUGCUUCUGAGCUGAGGACCCCUGUGCAACACUGGCUGCAUGGAGCGACCAGGCUGGAACGGGAAGAAGGAGACAUUGACAUUCCUUGGUGGUGUGUGACUGGUCAUCAGCUGACCAGAAGAUACUGAUGGAGGUGCUUCUUCACGCAAGCAAGACUGCAAGCCCCAGCUCCUUUUCAUUCGACUGAGAAGAUAAUGCAUGGUAGCGAUGUGAAUGUGUUGCUCUCAUGAGGUGAGUGCUGACUUUUGGCCAUACCAGUGGUAACGAAGGGUUACAGAAGUGCUGAAACUCAAAAAUACAAACACAAAUAUCAGACCUUCAGCCCUCCCAUAGGGCAUU
rnacentral:lncRNA from 1 species